rnacentral:rRNA from 1 species
AGUGAACGCUGGCGGUAGGCCUAACACAUGCAAGUCGAACGGCAGCACAGUAAGAGCUUGCUCUUACGGGUGGCGAGUGGCGGACGGGUGAGGAAUACAUCGGAAUCUACUUUUUCGUGGGGGAUAACGUAGGGAAACUUACGCUAAUACCGCAUACGACCUACGGGUGAAAGCAGGGGAUCUUCGGACCUUGCGCGAUUGGAUGAGCCGAUGUCGGAUUAGCUAGUUGGCGGGGUAAAGGCCCGCCAAGGCGACGAUCCGUAGCUGGUCUGAGAGGAUGAUCAGCCACACUGGAACUGAGACACGGUCCAGACUCCGACGGGAGGCAGCAGUGGGGAAUAUUGGACGAUGGGCGCAAGCCUGAUCCAGCCAUACCGCGUGGGUGCAGAAGGCCUUCGGGUUGUAUAGCCCUUUUGUUGGGAAAGAAAAGCAGCAGGUUAAUACCCCGCUGUUCUGACGGUACCCAAAGAAUAAGCACCGGCUAACUUCGUG